AUGUUGUGGGAUUGUUACUCCGACCAAGCUGUGUAUGACAAAGUCUUGACCCACAAUAUCGGCUCCAUCGCGGAUGUAACAUAUGCAGUGCUGAGCAACGCCGUGGAGACCUCCGUGCAGGUCCAGCUGAAGCUGAAUGGUGACAAAGCUGGUGCCACCGCCCGCGUGCACGGUGAAAUCACGGCGAAGUACCAGCACUACAACGACCACAGCAUAGUGCUCUUCAGCUGUACAAAAGAGAAGGAAAUGGAACUGGAGAUCUCCAUGUACGAUGGCAUCAUUAGUAUUCCAAUUCCACUUCAGCGGUCGGUCAUUGCGGUGCCUGUCAGCUCAUCGCUUCAGAUAAAGGUGAAGAUCCAUGUCACAUGUCUACCCAAGCAUGAGGGCGUCGUCUCCUUCGACGACGACCUCAUCUUCCCCCACACAGAUCAGCAAACGGGAAAACUUCUGGGGGGAGAUGUGGCGGUUCAUGUGACGAUCAGACCACCCACUUCGGCCGACACCUGCGCCUUCCCAAAACCAAGUAAUAGAGCACUGUCGCUUGCGCUGGCUACUACUCCAGUUCCAAGGAAGGAAACUACUGCAGGAAAGAGUUUGAUGCGUUGGGUUCUAAAAUUUAAGAGGUUGAUGCCCCCCGCUCUGAAAAGGUUUACUUUUGAAGCAAUUGGUUCCAAAUAG
rnacentral:rRNA from 1 species